UACGUAGGGGGCGAGCGUUAUCCGGAUUUAUUGGGCGUAAAGCGUGUGUAGGCGGUUUAUUAAGUUUAAGAUCAAAGCCUGGGGCUUAACUCCAGUUCGUCUUAAAAACUGGUAGACUUGAGUGUGGUAGAGGCAAGUGGAAUUUCUAGUGUAGCGGUUAAAUGCGUAGAUAUUAGAAGGAACACCAGUGGCGAAGGCGGCUUGCUGGGCCACAACUGACGCUGAGACACGAAAGCGUGGGUAGCAAAUAGG
rnacentral:rRNA from 1 species